UCUCCGUUGGUGAACCAGCGGAGGGAUCAUUGCUGGAAGCGUCGUCCGACGCGCCCAGAUGCCCUAUGUCAACGCAUACACCCUUUGUUGCCUCGGGGGGCCGCCCGGGAGGCCGCGUUCUGCGCGGUACCCGGGAGCCACGGCGCCCCGGUGGCCCUUCAAACUCUUGUAUUGUAUGACCUAUCAGAAACACUAUGUAAUAGUUAAAACUUUCAGCAACGGAUCUCUUGGUUCUGGCAUCGAUGAAGAACGCAGC
rnacentral:misc_RNA from 1 species